AAACCAACCGGGAUUGCCUCAGUAACGGCGAGUGAAGCGGCAAGAGCUCAGAUUUGAAAUCUGCUACCUUCGGUGGCCGAGUUGUAGCGUGUAGAGUGCUGUCCCGGAUGCACGGCGUGGUCUAGGUUCCCUGGAAAGGGACGCCGUAGAGGGUGAGAGCCCCGUGCGGCCUUGUCUGUGGCAUCCAAUGUGGGACGUGCUCGAGGAGUCGAGUUGUUUGGGAAUGCAGCUCAAAGUGGGUGGUAAACUCCAUCUAAAGCUAAAUACAGGCGAGAGACCGAUAGCGAACAAGUACAGUGAUGGAAAGAUGAAAAGCACUUUGAAAAGAGAGUGAAAUAGCACGUGAAAUUGUUGAAAGGGAAGGGCAGCUGCUCAGACAUGGCAGGUUGCGUCCUCUGCUCCUCGUGGGCGGGGGGUUCAACGCGGCUUGCUGGGCCAGCAUCAGUUUUGGCGGCAGGAGAAAACGGGCCGGAAUGUAGCCGCACCUGCUCUGGGUGUGGUGUUAUAGCCGGGGCGUGAAUGCUGCCAGCCGGGACUGAGGGAUGCGACGCUUUGUCGUCACGGAUGCUGGCAUAAUGGGUAGCUGCCGC
rnacentral:rRNA from 1 species